rnacentral:lncRNA from 10 species
AAACCUUACAAAUGUAAUGAGUGUGGCAAGGUCUUCAGUCACAAGUCAUCCCUAGUAAAUCACUGGAGAAUCCACACUGGAGAGAAACCUUACAAAUGUAAUGAAUGUGGCAAGGUCUUCAGUCGCAAUUCAUACCUUGCCCAACAUCUGAUAAUUCAUGCCGGUGAGAAACCUUAUAAGUGUGAUGAAUGUGACAAAGCAUUCAGUCAAAAUUCACAUCUUGUACAACAUCACAGAAUCCAUACUGGAGAGAAACCUUACAAAUGUGAUGAAUGUGGCAAAGUCUUCAGUCAAAAUUCAUACCUUGCAUAUCAUUGGAGAAUUCAUACUGGAGAAAAAGCUUAUAAAUGUAAUGAAUGUGGGAAGGUCUUCGGUCUAAACUCAUCCCUAGCACAUCAUCGGAAAAUUCACACUGGAGAGAAACCUUUCAAAUGUAAUGAAUGUGGCAAAGCUUUUAGUAUGCGUUCAAGCCUCACUAAUCAUCAUGCGAUCCACACUGGAGAGAAACAUUUCAAAUGUAAUGAAUGUGGCAAACUCUUCCGCGACAAUUCAUAUCUUGUACGUCAUCAGAGAUUUCAUGCCGGAAAGAAAUCUAACACAUGUAAUUAAUGUGGCAGAGUGUUCAGUUAGCAUUAAAGCCUUGUAAGACAUACAAUAAUUUAUACUGGAGAAAAACUUUGCAAGUAUAAUGAAUGUAGCAGAGCCUUUAGUUUUUGUUCAAGGCUUAAUAACCGUUAGCUAGACCAUAGAGGACAGAAACUUUACUAAUGUACUGAAUGUGGCAAGGUCUUAAGGUAAAAUCUGAGACCAGGAUUCUUCAAAGAAUUCUUGCUGGUGAGAAACCUAACAAAUGUAAUGAAUGUGGCAAGGUCUUCUGGCACAAUUCUCACAUUGUACAAUAUUGCAAAAAUUCAUGCUUGAGAGAAACAAAAACACUGAGAGUGGGAAACCAUUAUGACUUCAAACAUUCAUCAACAUCAGAGAAUCCAUACUAAAGAGCAUUUAUAAUAAUUAUAUGUGAUAGAGAUUUUCCGCAGGCCAAAGUCUCACUAGGCAUCAAAAACUUUUUUGAUGAAACCAUACAAAUGUAACGUGCAUGCUUAAGCUUUUACCCAGGCAUCAAAACCGGAACAUCACAGGGUUUAUACUGGAGAGUAACUACACAAAGAUAAUGUAAUAAGCCUUUCAGUGUAAUAUUCAUGAUUUUGUCGUGAGAGAUCCACUCAAUAAAAACCAGGCAAAUGUAGUGAAUCUGGAAAGGUUACUAAUCUAAGAUGCAUCCUCAGGGUUCAUUAAAAAUUCAUAGUGGAGGGCCGGACCCAGUGACUCAUGCCUGUAAUCCCAGAA